UGCUGUGGCCAUGCCACCCUGAACGUGCCUGAUCUCAUCUGAUCUCAGAAGCUAAGCAGGGUCGAGCCUGGUUAGUACUUGGAUGGGAGACCACCUAGGAAUGCCAGGUGCUGUAGGCA
rnacentral:rRNA from 1 species